ACACGACUACAUUAGAUACCCGUGUAGUCCCAGCCCUAAACGAUGCGCGUUAGGUGUAUCGGUGACCACGAGUCACCGAGGUGCCGAAGGGAACCGUGAAACGUGCCGCCUGGGAAGUACGGUCGCAAGGCUGAAACUUAAAGGAAUUGGCGGGGGAGCACCGCAACGGGAGGAGCGUGCGGUUCAAUUGGAUUCAACGCCGGACAACUCACCAGGAGCGACGGUUACAUGAAGGCCAGGCUGAUGACCUUGCCUGAUUUCCCG
rnacentral:rRNA from 1 species